rnacentral:rRNA from 1 species
GAAGAUAGCCCCGAGAAAUCGGGAUUAAUACUCCAUAAUAUAUACGAAUCGCAUGGUUUGUAUAUUAAAGCUCCGGCGGUUAAAGAUGGGCAUGCGUGACAUUAGUUAGUUGGUGAGGUAACGGCUCACCAAGACGACGAUGUCUAGGGGUUCUGAGAGGAUUAUCCCCCACACUGGUACUGAGACACGGACCAGACUCCUACGGGAGGCAGCAGUGAGGAAUAUUGGUCAAUGGGCGAGAGCCUGAACCAGCCAUGCCGCGUGCAGGAUGAAGGCGCUAUGCGUUGUAAACUGCUUUUUUUAUAGGAAGAAACCUAUCCUCGUGAGGGUAGCCGACGGUACUAUAGGAAUAAGCACCGGCUAACUCCGUGCCAGCAGCCGCGGUAAUACGGAGGGUGCAAGCGUUAUCCGGAUUUAUUGGGUUUAAAGGGUACGUAGGCGGAAAAUUAAGUCAGUGGUGAAAUCCUGCGGCUCAACCGUAGAACUGCCAUUGAUACUGAUUUUCUUGAAUAUAGUUGAGGUAGGCGGAAUGUGUAAUGUAGCGGUGAAAUGCUUAGAUAUUACACAGAACACCGAUUGCGAAGGCAGCUUACUAAACUACUAUUGACGCUGAGGUACGAAAGCGUGGGGAGCGAACAGGAUUAGAUACCCUGGUAGUCCACGCUGUAAACGAUGAUCACUCGUUGUCUGCGAUAUAUUGUAGGCGACUGAGCGAAAGCAUUAAGUGAUCCACCUGGGGAGUACGUUGGCAACAAUGAAACUCAAAGGAAUUGACGGGGGCCCGCACAAGCGGAGGAACAUGUGGUUUAAUUCGAUGAUACGCGAGGAACCUUACCUGGGUUUAAAUGUAGGUUGCAUGAUCGGGAAACUGAUCUUUCCUUCGGGACUACUUACAAGGUGCUGCAUGGUUGUCGUCAGCUCGUGCCGUGAGGUGUCGGGUUAAGUCCCAUAACGAGCGCAACCCCUAUCGUUAGUUGCUAGCAGGUAAUGCUGAGGACUCUAACGAGACUGCCGGUGUAAACCGAGAGGAAGGUGGGGAUGACGUCAAAUCAGCACGGCCCUUAUAUCCAGGGCUACACACGUGUUACAAUGGUCGAUACAAAGAGCAGCCACUUGGUGACAAGGCGCUAAUCUCUAAAGUCGAUCACAGUUCGGAUCGAAGUCUGCAACUCGACUUCGUGAAGUUGGAUUCGCUAGUAAUC